rnacentral:rRNA from 1 species
CCUACGGGAGGCAGCAGUGAGGAAUAUUGGUCAAUGGUCGGGAGACUGAACCAGCCAAGCCGCGUGAGGGAUGAAGGUACAGAGUAUCGUAAACCUCUUUUGUCAGGGAACAAAGGCGGGGACGUGUCCCCGGAUGAGUGUACCUGAAGAAAAAGCAUCGGCUAACUCCGUGCCAGCAGCCGCGGUAAUACGGAGGAUGCGAGCGUUAUCCGGUUUUAUUGGGUUUAAAGGGUGCGCAGGCGGUCUGUUAAGUCAGCGGUCAAAGCCCGCGGCUCAACCCCGGCCCGCCGUUGAAACUGGCAGUCGCGAGUUGGAGAGAAGUAUGCGGAAUGCGCGGUGUAGCGGUGAAAUACAUAGAUAUCGCGCAGAACUCCGAUUGCGAAGGCAGCAUGCCGGCUCCACACUGACGCUGAGGCACGAAAGCGUGGGUAUCGAACAGGAUUAGAUACCCCAGUAGUC